rnacentral:rRNA from 1 species
GGAGUUAGCCGGUGCUUCUUCUGUGAGUGAUGUCCUUCCUGCCGGCUAUUAACCCGCAGGCCUUCUUCCUCACUGAAAGUGCUUUACAACCCGAAGGCCUUCUUCACACACGCGGCAUGGCUGGAUCAGGGUUGCCCCCAUUGUCCAAUAUUCCCCACUGCUGCCUCCCGUAGGAGUCUGGGCCGUGUCUCAGUCCCAGUGUGGCUGAUCAUCCUCUCAGACCAGCUACGGAUCGUCGCCUUGGUGAGCCGUUACCUCACCAACCAGCUAAUCCGACAUAGGCUCAUCCGAUAGCGCGAGGCCCGAAGGUCCCCCGNUUUCCCCCGUAGGGCGUAUGCGGUAUUAGCCUGGGUUUCCCCAGGUUAUCCCCCACUACCGGGCAGAUUCCUAUGCAUUACUCACCCGUCCGCCGCUCGCCACCAGGGAGCAAGCUCCCCGUGCUGCCGCUCGACUUGCNUGUGUAGCUCGCGCAGCGUCAUCNGAGCGAGANACAACUCNGA